AUCAUGCAAGUCGAGCGCGCCCUUCGGGGUGAGCGGCGGACGGGUGAGUCCCCUGUGGGAAUAUGCCCUUCUCUAAGGAAUAGCCUCUGGUAAACGGAGAGUAAUACCUUAUACGCCCUUUGGGGGAAAGAUUUAUCGGAGAAGGAUUAGCCCGCGUUAGAUUAGGUAGUUGGUGGGGUAAUGGCCUACCAAGCCUACGAUCUAUAGCUGGUUUGAGAGGAUGAUCAGCCACACUGGGACUGAGACACGGCCCAGACUCCUACGGGAGGCAGCAGUAGGGAAUCUUAGACAAUGGGGGCAACCCUGAUCUAGCCAUGCCGCGUGUGUGAUGAAGGCCCUAGGGUCGUAAAGCACUUUCGCCAGAGAUGAUAAUGACAGUAUCUGGUAAAGAAACCCCGGCUAACUCCGUGCCAGCAGCCGCGGUAAUACGGAGGGGGUUAGCGUUGUUCGGAAUUACUGGGCGUAAAGCGCACGUAGGCGGAUUAGUAAGUUAGAGGUGAAAUCCCAGGGCUCAACCCUGGAACUGCCUUUAAUACUGCUAGUCUUGAGUUCGAGAGAGGUAAGUGGAAUUCCGAGUGUAGAGGUGAAAUUCGUAGAUAUU
rnacentral:rRNA from 1 species